rnacentral:tRNA from 1 species
CAUUAAGAAGCUAUGUAUCAGCACUAGCCUUUUAAGCUAGAGAAAGAGGACCAACUAUCCCUCCUUAAUGA